rnacentral:lncRNA from 1 species
AGGGUGGGCGGCCUUCCUUGGCAUAAGAGAUUAGAGGAGAUCUUCCUCCUCUUGGGUGAGUGAAAACUUAGAUCUGAUCUAGGAUUUUGGGUGAAGGAAAAAUAAAAGAGAGGAGAGUCUUCUUCCUUCCAUCACCAGAUCCUCCUUGUCCAUCUUCAUGUUCCAGAGGAGUCCGUGAGAUCCAAAGAAGAAUGUAAAUUAGCCAUCAGAAGAUCGUUGCACGAGCUAGCGCUCUCGGGACGAUCGAUCAGCGUUGGACUUUGAGUGGACCAACCGUAGAGGCCGGACACUCCAUGCAGCUGCAAGCAACCAGUGAGACCUCAAGU